rnacentral:rRNA from 1 species
AUUGAACGCUGGCGGCAGGCCUAACACAUGCAAGUCGAACGAGCGGCGGACGGGUGAGUAAUGUCUGGGAAACUGCCCGAUGGAGGGGGAUAACUACUGGAAACGGUAGCUAAUACCGCAUACCAUCUGAUGUUCCCAGAUGGGAUUAGCUUGUAGGUGGGGUAACGGCUCACCUAGGCGACGAUCCCUAGCUGGUCUUAGAGGAUGACCAGCCACACGGGAACUGAGACACGGUCCAGACUCCUACGGGAGGCAGCAGUGGGGAAUAUUGCACAAUGGGCGCAAGCCUGAUGCAGCCAUGCCGCGUGUGUGAAGAAGGCCUUCGGGUUGUAAAGCACUUUAAGCGAGGAGGCGUUACUCGCAGAAGAAGCACCGGCUAACUCCGUGCCAGCAGCCGCGGUAAUUC